rnacentral:tRNA from 1 species
GUAGGUGUAGUUUAACUAAAAUAUCUGCCUGUGGAGCGGAAGAUGAUUCUACCUACU